UACGUAGGGUGCAAGCGUUGUCCGGAAUUAUUGGGCGUAAAGAGCUCGUAGGCGGUUUGUUGCGUCGGCUGUGAAAUCCCGAGGCUCAACCUCGGGUCUGCAGUCGAUACGAGCAAACUAGAGUGUUGCAGGGGAGACUGGAAUUCCUGGUGUAGCGGUGAAAUGCGCAGAUAUCAGGAGGAACACCGGUGGCGAAGGCGGGUCUCUGGGCAACAACUGACGCUGAGACGCGAAAGCUAGGGGAGCGAACAGG
rnacentral:rRNA from 1 species